CCUACGGGAGGCAGCAGUGAGGAAUAUUGGUCAAUGGCCGGAAGGCUGAACCAGCCAAGCCGCGUGAAGGACGCAGGUUCCAAGCAUUGUAAACUUCUUUUGUCAAGGGACAAAAUCAGGCUCGAGAGCCUGACCGAGGGUACUUGAAGAAAAAGCAUCGGCUAACUCCGUGCCAGCAGCCGCGGUAAUACGGAGGAUGCGAGCGUUAUCCGGAUUUAUUGGGUUUAAAGGGUGCGUAGGCGGACUGUUCAGUCAGCGGUAAAAGGACGGGGAUCAAACCCGGCGAGUCGUUGAGACUGGCUGUCUUGAGAUGUCGAGAGGUAUGCGGAAUGCGCAGUGUAGCGGUGAAAUGCUUAGAUAUUGCGCAGAACUCCGAUUGCGAAGGCAGCAUACCGGCGGCGAUCUGACGCUGAGGCACGAAAGCGUGGGUAUCGAACAGGAUUAGAUACCCCUGUAGUC
rnacentral:rRNA from 1 species